GAACGGCAGCGCGGGAGCAAUCCUGGCGGCGAGUGGCGAACGGGUGAGUAAUACAUCGGAACGUGCCCAAUCGUGGGGGAUAACGCAGCGAAAGCUGUGCUAAUACCGCAUACGAUCUACGGAUGAAAGCAGGGGAUCGCAAGACCUUGCGCGAAUGGAGCGGCCGAUGGCAGAUUAGGUAGUUGGUGGGGUAAAGGCUCACCAAGCCAACGAUCUGUAGCUGGUCUGAGAGGACGACCAGCCACACUGGGACUGAGACACGGCCCAGACUCCUACGGGAGGCAGCAGUGGGGAAUUUUGGACAAUGGGCGCAAGCCUGAUCCAGCCAUGCCGCGUGCAGGAUGAAGGCCUUCGGGUUGUAAACUGCUUUUGUACGGAACGAAAAGUCUCUUUCUAAUAAAGAGGGAUCAUGACGGUACCGUAAGAAUAAGCACCGGCUAACUACGUG
rnacentral:rRNA from 1 species